UAGGGAGCACAUGCUGAACGGAUCAUCUGCAACCAAAGUUAUCCUCUAGUUUAAGAAACCAGUUACAGUAGAGUGUUGCCAAGCUCUCAUCACAAUAAAAAAAGAAUAUGGAAGAGAAGGACUGAAUUAUUGUCCUCGUUAGCCAACUCAGAUUGGUCCUCGUUAAUUAACUUGUGGGUUAAAGUCCUUAUUUUUGGGAUAUAUCAUUUAAACGUUAGGCACCCAUAUAUAUUCAAUCCACGUGGGGUGAGGAACGAAAUUUCAAUAUUAACAGGUUGAUGCUACACAUAAAACAAGGGUAAACUGGAUGGUCUUUUCUCCUUAUAGUUGAUGGUGUCACAGGUUGCAUUCGACGACAGUCCUAUAUAAUAAACCAAGAAUGAAUCCAAUGCUACAUUAGGAAAAAUUUAUCUUUCGAUGCUAAGGAAAGAACCAUAUGAUAUUCAGAAGCUGCAUAGGGAAUCUUCUCAAAAGGUUGGUUGAGCAAAAGUUUCAAGAUAAUAUCCAGAACAAUACUUUUCUGCACCACGAAUACAACAUAAACAUUACAAGGUAGCCAAGUUAACACCCUUGUUCGCCUAAGUAGAUUUUUCUAAUUUCUCCUAACAUCGGGGAUCAGGAUCCUUAAUUAUAGACAUAAAACUUGCUCAUUGCUUACUUGCUUGCUGUCGUCGUUGUUUGCUGUCCUGUAGUGGCACGCUCACUUGGCUAGCAGCUGCAGUCACACGCUCGCGGCUUGCCUACUACCCUGCAGUCUCGCGCUAAACUGGCGCAGCUGCUUGUACAUGCGCUUCUCCUCUGGCCUCACGUGCUCACCCAGGGCGCACGGUGGCUGGCGCAUGUGGUUCGCCCACACGGCCACACACAGACGCUUGGCCGCUCGAGGAGCUCGGGAGGGAAUUAGAGGCGGGAGCCCUCACCUGCUCGCCGGCCACCGCCAUGCUCGCGAAACCUUAGCACGCCCGCGGAGCCCCGCUCAACCCUAGCACGCUCGUGUAGCCGCUCAACCCUAGCACGCCCGCGUCCGCCACCGUGUGGGACUGUGGCCUAUGGGUGCC
rnacentral:lncRNA from 7 species